rnacentral:rRNA from 1 species
GAAUGCUGACAUAAGUAACGAUAAAGCGGGUGAAAAGCCCGCUCGCCGGAAGACCAAGGGUUCCUGUCCAACGUUAAUCGGGGCAGGGUGAGUCGACCCCUAAGGCGAGGCCGAAAGGCGUAGUCGAUGGGAAACAGGUUAAUAUUCCUGUACUUGGUGUUACUGCGAAGGGGGGACGGAGAAGGCUAUGUUGGCCGGGCGACGGUUGUCCCGGUUUAAGCGUGUAGGCUGGUUUUCCAGGCAAAUCCGGAAAAUCAAGGCUGAGGCGUGAUGACGAGGCACUACGGUGCUGAAGCAACAAAUGCCCUGCUUCCAGGAAAAGCCUCUAAGCAUCAGGUAACAUCAAAUCGUACCCCAAACCGACACAGGUGGUCAGGUAGAGAAUACCAAGGCGCUUGAGAGAACUCGGGUGAAGGAACUAGGCAAAAUGGUGCCGUAACUUCGGGAGAAGGCACGCUGAUAUGUAGGUGAAGUCCCUCGCGGAUGGAGCUGAAAUCAGUCGAAGAUACCAGCUGGCUGCAACUGUUUAUUAAAAACACAGCACUGUGCAAACACGAAAGUGGACGUAUACGGUGUGACGCCUGCCCGGUGCCGGAAGGUUAAUUGAUGGGGUUAGCCGCAAGGCGAAGCUCUUGAUCGAAGCCCCGGUAAACGGCGGCCGUAACUAUAACGGUCCUAAGGUAGCGAAAUUCCUUGUCGGGUAAGUUCCGACCUGCACGAAUGGCGUAAUGAUGGCCAGGCUGUCUCCACCCGAGACUCAGUGAAAUUGAACUCGCUGUGAAGAUGCAGUGUACCCGCGGCAAGACGGAAAGACCCCGUGAACCUUUACUAUAGCUUGACACUGAACAUUGAGCCUUGAUGUGUAGGAUAGGUGGGAGGCUUAGAAGUGUGGACGCCAGUCUGCAUGGAGCCGACCUUGAAAUACCACCCUUUAAUGUUUGAUGUUCUAACGUUGACCCGUAAUCCGGGUUGCGGACAGUGUCUGGUGGGUAGUUUGACUGGGGCGGUCUCCUCCUAAAGAGUAACGGAGGAGCACGAAGGUUGGCUAAUCCUGGUCGGACAUCAGGAGGUUAGUGCAAUGGCAUAAGCCAGCUUGACUGCGAGCGUGACGGCGCGAGCAGGUGCGAAAGCAGGUCAUAGUGAUCCGGUGGUUCUGAAUGGAAGGGCCAUCGCUCAACGGAUAAAAGGUACUCCGGGGAUAACAGGCUGAUACCGCCCAAGAGUUCAUAUCGACGGCGGUGUUUGGCACCUCGAUGUCGGCUCAUCACAUCCUGGGGCUGAAGUAGGUCCCAAGGGUAUGGCUGUUCGCCAUUUAAAGUGGUACGCGAGCUGGGUUUAGAACGUCGUGAGACAGUUCGGUCCCUAUCUGCCGUG